GACGGAGGGCGCAAGCGUUGUCCGGAAUUACUGGGCGUAAAGCGUGCGCAGGCGGCUCCUUAAGUCCCUUGUGAAAUCCCGGGGCUCAACUCCGGAACUGCGUGGGAUACUGGGGAGCUAGAGAACGGUAGAGGUCAACGGAAUUCCCGGUGUAGCGGUGGAAUGCGUAGAUAUCGGGAAGAACACCAGUGGCGAAGGCGGUUGACUGGGCCGUUUCUGACGCUCAUGUACGAAAGCGUGGGGAGCAAACAGG
rnacentral:misc_RNA from 1 species